CUCCCAGACACAGGUACGUCACAGAAACUGGCCUCAGGAGGAAACAGCCUCUACUACAGUUUCAACGCUGAGGAAUCAGGAAGCUCUUUUCCUCCCUGCUGGCUCCAGAAAUACUCUGCUUCAACUGUCAUUCAGGAAUCACGGAGCUUCACUCAGAAAUACUGAUUCUAGGGCCAUGCCACAUGGGCCAGAUGUCAAUAGCAAAGUGGAUGUCUGGGGUACAUUUUCUCUCACCACUUCACUGAAUUCUGAAUUCAAGUCUUGCACAAGUGCAUGUGACAGGCAGUACCUAAAUCAAGUGUAGGUAUAGGAGUUUGGGAAAUGUUUUACUCUCCGCUGUCUCCGCAAACCAGAGAGGACCACAGAAGGCAGUGGAAACAGAAGUCAGUGUGUCAUAUUGCAGACUCGCAGGGAUUCACGUCACAUGCCCUCCUUCAGAACUCAGCCAGAAAAGAAGGCCCACAUGCCACAUAUGAGAGAGAAGUCCCAAAGAUAAUGGGCACAUAUUUGCAGUCCAAACCUACACAGAAUAAUGUGCAUCUUUGUUUUUAUGUUUUCAUUAAGUCAGUUCAAGGCUCCCCACUUCCUCCUUCAUGAGACUUCAUCUGAGAUCUGAAGACAAAGAAUGAGGUGAAAGGGCCAGGGGCCAGAAAGGAACUGGCUGUUAUGGUGACAUCACAAAUAUCUAGUCCUCAGUCAUCUUCUCUGACAUGACAUCUAAUGUCAAAUGUUGCAUCUCACAGCCACCGUACAUCUGAUGCUGAUAUCACCUGUCCUGCACGCGAGGAAGGCCAGUGUA